GGGAGUUUCACUGUUCCUCUUCCCUCUGUGUUCGUUGGCCGGUGACCGUGGGUGCGCCUGUCGCCGCCGUCGCUGGAGAUCGAAGGUGCGCCAGAUUUUCUCCCUUUUUGCUCUUCUUCUCUGCUUUGCGUCAUCUUCUUGGUUCUCGCUUCUUCCUCGACGUUCCUCCGUCUUCUUCCUUUCGGUGGCCGAUGGGUCGUUGAUAUCUUCCUCCCUCUCCACUGUCAUGUUGCAGCGUUCUUUUUUUUUUUUUUCUUUCUUUCUUUCUUCCUGCUCUGGUGCCACUGACCUAUUGUGGAAUGUUCAUGCAUUUGGGAAAGCUUCGAUCCUCUCAUUCCAUCUCUCAUUUGCUACACAGGUGAAGGAAUCCUCACUUCUCCUCCUUGUCCAGUUUGAGCAUGGGUAUGAUUGGGUGGCUGAAUUUUUUUUCCCUUUUUCCCCUCCAUUUGUGUUAGCUGCCGUGCAUGGGUAAGGGAGAAGAUGAUGUCUAAGCAAGCUUACAUUGAGGGCUAAGAAGUUUAGAUCGCACUUGCAACUUCCGCAUGUGCACUUUGGCUACGGUGCUAUUGUGAGCAUCUCGUCCUAAAGACUUUUCAGUUUGGUAUAAUAUGCCGAGACAGAUUGGUUGUCUUUCUUCAACAAAGCAAUCGUACGUCGCAGCUCAUAAAUUCUUGGCGAGCUUUCCUUCCUGAAACGCUCUUCCAAGUCUACCCAGAUUUCUCGUGCCGUCUUGGCAUAUCGAACACUGGUUCUCACCUCUUUAUCAAUAGAGCUCUUCAACCAACCUUUCACCAUAGCAUUGCACCUCAUCUAGUGUGUGAGGUUCGGUGAAUCAGUUGAAGGCGCUGAUGGGGUUCCGUCAACGAAACCAAAUUUGUUCUUGCCAUAAAAGGGUGUUGCUCAUGUCAUUUACCCACUCGCCAGAGUUGUCGUCACUUAGCAACUCACUAACGAAGAUCUGGCCCGGGUUGUCAGAAGGAUGAAGAAAGAAUGGUGACUUUGAAUCGACCACUCCACUCUUUUCAAUCUCUGCUCCGUCCGUCUUCUCAAAUCCAAAUGAGGUCAUGAUUCUAUAAUUAAUAUACAGAUAUAGUAUUGUUAAUAUACAAUAUUAUGGGACCCACGUGAUUGGUGGAGGAGAGAAUCCAUGUGAUGCAUGCAAGGCCAUGCGAGAUUUACAUAACAGAUGCAGCAGUUUUCUUCUUCAAGUUUCGACAAUCACAAUUCUCUCGUAAUCCCUAUUCGACUAUCACGUUCAUCGGGACGUCUUCUCGUUCGUGAGAUUUCUUCCUCAGAUUCACAGUCACGAUGAAGCAGGUGGCAAUGAUCGCGACAUACCAUUGCUUCCCCGAGAUAUCAUCACAGAAAUUCUCUAAAGACUUCCUGUAAAAUCCCUUAUGCGAUUUCGCUGUGUGCGCAAAGAUUGGAAAAACCUCCUCAAAAACCCAUCUUUCAUCGCAGCCCACCUCCACUGCUCCAGUAAUCAAAACCCUUCUCUUAUGUUCACUCGAUUUGAUGGACAUCAUUAUACGCUCUUUGAUUUGCUCGAUUGCAGUAUGCAAUUCCUUGAAGUUCAGAACGCACCUGCGAUCGAAUGGGCUUGGGAUAGGAUCGUCAGUUCCUGCAAUGGCUUGUUCUGCUUUCAAAUUCCUAAUUAGGGUACGACUCCCGUUACUCCUCCUUCCUAUUUAUUGUGGAAUCCGGCAACUAGAGAGGUUAGACAGGUGCCCAGACCUCUUACUUAUUCUGACGGUCAUUUCUUUAUCGUAUUAGGCUUCAGUCCUGUUGUUAAUCAUUCCAAGAUUGUGACAAAUUAUGGAGCUCGGUUUUCUCAUGAGGUUAAUCCAGUGAAACUGUAUUCCUUAAGUACAGGAUCAUGGGAGGGAAUAGAAUUUGGGAACAUGGAGGGCGUAAUUUUCAGGAUUGAACCUAUAACUGUUACUGGAAUUAUCUUCUGGCUGGCAACAAAGCAAGUUGUGAAGGGUGAAGAUGGAGAUGAUGAUACUCAUUUGAUAGUUUCAUUUGACAUAGCAAUGGAAGUGUUUACAUUAAUACAAGUUCCUGCAUUAGUCUGGCCUACGCUUACUGUGUACCAGGACAAACUUGCUCUGCUUUAUGCAACUCUAAGUGGAAAUUUCAAAUCUUCUUUUGUUGAUUUGUGGGUGAUGGAGAAGGAUACAGGUGCAUUUGAGGGGAUGUGCAGUUGAGCUAAGAAAUAUACUAGUGACACUCAUCCAUGCUUCUUAUCUCCGUUUACUAUUUGGAGAAGACAAAUUGUGUGCAAUGUUGUAAAGCCUGUACACGUUGUUGGAGCUGAUGGUGAAGAGAAGAAUGUUGAACCAACAAAUUUUCUAUAUCUAUUCAAUCUCACCGCUAAUGAAUUUAAGAUGUUUCCUACUGGCAGGUGGUCCAAGAGGAUGAUAUUUUUAGUUAUACUGAGAGCCUAGUACCAUUGGACAACAACCAUGUUGAAGAGUUAGGUAUUAAUUUGCAUAUAUAUUUUGCUUAUGCAAUUUUGGUGUAAAUGAACUCAACAGUCAGAUCAUUCUGUACCCAAAACCAUUUUGGCCCUUUAGAUAUGUUGUCUAUAUAUUUAAGAAUUAUAAAAAUGU